rnacentral:lncRNA from 1 species
GCAAAAGCGAAAAUCGCUGGAUAAAAAAGACAGAAUUCAAGGGUUUGAGUUCAUAACUCAAAAAUUUGAUUGAGAGCUCGGUAGAAGAAGAAAUUUUGAGAGAUUUUCGAAGGAAUUUUGUGGGUACUGAUUCCUAACUCCUUUAUCAUUAUAUUCCAAUUAAUUUAAGCUUGAUUUCAUCAUUUAAUUUCGAAUUUGGGUGAAAUUUUGGGAAAUUUGAGAAAAGUUCUUAGAUAGGAUUUUGGGAUUUUGAUUGAGAUUUUGGCAUCGGAUUUGAGUAAAUUUGUUAUGGUUAGACUCGUGAAUGAAUUGGUGUUCAUAAUUUGUGACUUUUACUCGAUUCCGAUACGUUGUCCUGAAGAGGAUUUUUGGGCGUUUUUCUAUUUUUUCUUAACUUUGAUUUCAUUAGCUAAAUUAAUUACUAGCUAUAUUUACUGUAUGUAAUUGAUUUGGUUAGAUUUGGACCACUCGGAGUUGGAUACUCGUGGCAAGAUCAUGAUUUCAGAUUGAUUUAACCUUGAUUCAAGGUAAAUGGCUUGUCUAAUCUUGUGUGGAAGAACUCCCCUUCAGAUUUGGUACUGUUCAAUAUGUAAGCAUUAUCUACGUAAGGUGGCGAAUGCGUACAUGUGUUAUUUUGUUGAAAAGAAAUCCUGUUUCAUUAAGUAAAUAUCUAUUUUUCCUUUAAUUGAGCAACACUAGUAUAGUAACUAUCCUGUUUAGCUUAAGAAAGCAUGCCUACAUGCCUUAGUUGCCUUAACUGCCUCAACUGCGUAUCUGAACUCUACGCAACAUGUUUAGUGAAAGCUACCUGUUUUCUCUUACAUGAACUUAGUCUAAACUGUAGAAUUCCUUGUUGGAACUGUUGUUUUUGUUAAUUGAGUUGCAUAUUUACUUUGGGACUACAGAAUGGUAUUUCGGGAGAUCCCCCUGCACGUUUAUGCUUGGGUCUACGAGAUGGUAUCCCGAAAGACCCCCCAGUACUGCAUAUUUACUAUGGGACUACGAAAUAGUAUUUUGGGAGAUCCCCCUACACAUUUACAUUUGGGACUACGGGACGGUUUCUCGGGAGAUCCCCUAUUGCUAUCUCUGUGUAUUGAGUUGUUGUUUUUUUGUUAUUUCAUUCUCAUUGACUACUAUACAUAUAUCCUAGUAGCGCCCUGCCUGAUUUUGUUACCACUCAAUCGAGGUUAGGAUUAAGACUUACUGGUAUGGCCGUGGUGUACUCAUGCCCUUUCCUACGUAUAUUUUUUGUGUGCGGAUCCAGGUACAUCUUCCUGGUCUUAUUUCUAAUAAGGCAAGGCAAUUGUAGAGACAUUAAGUUAUAUCUUCCGCGUCUGCAGACCUAGGAGUCUCUCUCUACUCUUCCUUAAGUUCAAGACUUUCUUGUAUUUUCUUCAUUGACAGUUUCUGGAGUUUAGAAGCACUAUUUACUUUUAGUUUGUGACUAAUGAUAUUCCAGAUUUUGGAAGCAUUUAUGUUUAGUUUGAGAGUGUUUACUGUAUAUACCGAACGACAUCUAAAAUUCUUAAUUAAAUUUACCUGUUAAAUUGUUAGUUUUUCAGGUUUUUGUUUCAUUAUAUGCAAAAUGUUAGGAUUACCUAGUCGUAGAGACUAGGUGCCAUAACGAUAGUUUACAGAGGGAGAAGUUGGUCGUAACAAGUUGGUAUCAAAGCUCUAGGUUCAUAGGAGUUGUGAGUCACAAGACGGUUAAUUUGAGUCUCGCGGAUCGGUAUUGAGACGUUUGUAUUUAUCUUCGAGAGGCUACAGAACUAUUAAGAAAAUUUCACUUUAUUUGAUUCCUUGUCGUGCGAGAUUAUUGACUUCAAAAUUCUAAGCUUUUGUCUUAUGUUCUCUCAUAGAUGGUGAUGGCACAUACUACCGAAGAUGACCAGGCACCCGCGCCCUCUACUAGAGCCACCAAAGGCCAGGGUUGGGUAGAGGCCAGGGACGCACACAUAGUUCAGCCAGAGCACCCCGCAUGAGCUACUACUGAGGAGCCACUAGUAGUUCCAGCCGUAUCCCAGGCACCUGAUACGUGUACUACUACUAUUACUACUCCAACUCUCUAGGAGGCUCUUGCACAGUUCGUGAGCAUGUAUAUCACUCUGGCUCAGGCAGGGUUUAUUCCCCUUACUGGAGAUACACAUAUC